rnacentral:lncRNA from 1 species
UUGUACAGCCACAGGGCGCCAUGCCUCUCCCUCGCCUCUGUGCCGCCGCCCUCGUUGUUGCCACCGGAAAGUCUCCGCGCACAGAACCUCGCCAAGGUACCUGCUAUGCUUCCCUCUCUCGCGUCUCUCUUCUUCGGCGUAGUUAGCCACGAAGGCCUCGUGCACGUGUCCCCGUGCAUCUUCUCCCUCGGCUCUCCUUGCGCGAGUUGCAGCGUGGCCAUCGGCGAAGCACGCCGUGCCGGCUAGUCUAUCCCUACCACCGUCUGCCCCCACGACCUUGGGCUGGUGUCCCAGCCCGGCACGCGUGCGCGUGCUUCCUUCCCCUGCCGAAUCAGUAGCCAGUGAAGCCCCUCCGUGUCACGGCAGCACCGCCCCUACGUUGCAGCCCCACCGUGCCGCUUCUUGGUCUCGUGCUCGGCCCCGACAAGCGGCCAUACUGCGUCGCCACCAACCGAGCUCAUGAGGUCACUCUCCCUGUAGACCUGCAGUCACCUUGUCGCGUCCUUCCCAGACCCGAAGCAGAUCCUGCCGGCACCCAGCUAGCGCCCAGGCCCUAGCCAUAUCCUGCGAUCGUGCAUGCAUGGAAAGGCUAGGAGAAGAAACCGUCACCUAUGGGCCCCACCUUGCACGCACGUCGGCACGUCCAUGCGAAUCCCAUGUCUGCAUGCCACCAAAGAAAGAUUAGGAAACCACCCCGACAUGGUCUCCUGCAGGUUGCACGUCACACACCUGGAAUUUGCUUUCCCUACAAUGGAUCAUCUGAUUCUCUGCGACUGCACGCGUUGUGGCCCUUUGUGUGGCAAAAUUCCGACCAAUCGCAUUACGUCAUGCCGUAAUAAUCUAUGAUAAUAAUUAUUCCAUAUAUUUUGCGUCGUAUACCUAUUUCUAACCAUUUCAGAUAUGUUAACUUUAUAAUAACAUCGUCUACGUGUUAGAAACAUAUUGUGUCAUGACACAUGUUUCACUAAUGUAUUAAAAAAUAUGUUUAUCCGAUCGUAAUUAAAAUAGCAAUUUAAUUAGAACUAAUUUAUAGUUUUAAUUUGUGCUUUUAUAAAUACAUGUUAACAUUAUUAAAGACAUACUUAAAUGUUUUGAAUUAAUACUUGUUUAGUAUAAUCACGAUGUCUGCCAGUGGUUCUCGUGUGUCGCGUGUGCUGUUUGCACGUGUUGUCGCGCGUCGUUCGCGUGUGUCGCGCGUCUUGCCGCACGUUGCGACACGUAUCUCGUAUGUCGAGCAUGGGUAUGGCGCGGCGUCUGCGCGUGAUAAUAAAACACUCAUGUUAAUAACGUUAAUUCCUCAGGUUGCAUAUUUUAGAUAAUUAACUUAAGGUUUGCUCGACUAAUAUUUAUUAGAUUAAAAUUUCAAUUAGAUUAAAUUUGUAGUGUUCAACUUGCGCUUCUAUAAUAAACAUUAACAUGGCUAAUAUUAACUUAAAUAUUUUUUAUUUAUUUAAUAUUUGUUUAGUAUAAACGCGUCACCUAUUUAGUUUUACUCGCCUGCCGCGCGUGCUGUUCCGCGCUCGGUGGCGUGCUGCUUCGUGCGUCGUCCGCGCGCUAAGUCACGUGUGGUCGUGCAUCCUCCCAUCAUCGUUUUGCACGCCACACACCUUGUCGAGUGUCGCCACGCGUCAUUCGCGCCUGACACACGCUUCGUUUUUGCGUGUAAUGUGUAUUGCCGCGCGUUGUUUGCGCAUGUCGUGCGUGUCCGUGCGUCGUUCUGCACGCAUGUCGUGCUGUUUCGAGUGUCAUAAAUUCACCUCACCUAGAAUCUCUCGUGUUAAUUAAAUUACUUAUUGAACUGACAGCUGUUAGUGUAGGAGAUUAAUCGAAACUAAAUGGUAAAUAUUAUUUAUAUUUGAUAAUGUCAAAUUAAAUGUUAUAGUUAAUAUUUAUUUAGCGUAAACACGAUAUCUUCUCAAUCGUAGCUUCAAGUUCGAUAUUUCUUUUUCCUCGCUGACCAUAGUGCACGCUCUAUUUUGUUUUGCAUGUUUUAUUAUGUUUUUAUUUGAAUGGUGUAAUGUUCUUAUGCAAAUAAAUGUUUGUUUGCUUGUGUUUGAUCGUCUUCGCUUCGCGUUGCGAUUAGAUCGCGAUUCGUUUCCGAGCUUCGAGGAAUAUAAGAUCAACCGUUGGCGACCAAGUGAUCUGGUUCUUCGAGUUCUACAAAGUUGAAGACCCUGAGCAUCUGCUUGGUGAAGGCAAGUGUCCCUUGACCCAUCUAUGUCCUACUCAUUUUAUAAUUCACUCCCCGCAUUCACACAAUUUAUACCUAAGGAUUGACUAGCUUUUAUUUAUCAUGUCCUUGUUUACCUAUGUGGGUUGGGUUAUUUUGGUUUAGCUUUAUGCUAGUGCUUCAUAUUAAUCAAUGAACAUGAUGAGAUUAUUUAUGAUACGAUGUUUUCCCUUUUGAUUAUGAUGAUGAUACCGUGACAUUUAAGGGGACUCGAGCGAUUUCUCGAGUGCCUCUCCGUAAUGACUGGUUCGUUGGAUGACCACCCGGGAAAACAGCGCAACCAUGAGGGUGGUAUGAGACGUCCUUGGCCAAACAAUUAGGGAAGUCUUAUGUUGGGUGCUGGUUUUGGUAAUUGGGGAACGGAGGCAUCUGUUAUGGCUCCUAUAUCCUCGCUCAGGGAUCUGGGUACGGGCAUUGUCCCAUGACUUUUUCCUAAGGGCUGAGGUAUAGGUUUGGUACGUCAGAUGGACUCUAUGCGAUGGUCAUUUCCAACAUUCACAUAAUGAGAACCCUAGGGAAAAGUCACAUAGUGAAACUCUGUCUAUUCACCUUGGUAGUGUUUAAGGGUUUGAUCGCCCCGAGGCAAAAGGGAAUCACGGCUCAUGGGUAAAGUGUGCAACCUCUGUAGAGUGUUAUGAAACUGAUAUAUCAGUCGUGCUCGCGGUUAUGAGCGGCCAAGGGAGCUCCAUUGAUUAGAGACACAUUGAUCAGAGAUGUUUUGUUUAUAGAUGAUGAUGAGGAUAAUGUUGGUUUCUAUUGUGAUUAUGAUUAUGAUUAUGGUUUCUGGUAUUCUUUCUGUUUGGAAAGAGUACUUUUGGGUUAACAACUUGGGUUACUGUUAAAACUUGGCUCUCUACUAGUAAUAAUUACCUGACCAACUAAAAGCAACUGCUUGACCUUAACCCCACAUAAAGCUAGUCCACUACAGCCAAACGGGACAUUUGCUAAGUACGUUGAUGUGUACUCACCGUUCCUUUCACAAAACACAAGGUUGCCUUUGGUGCAAUCUAUGCUCAGGUAAAGAAGAAGGAGAACGGUGUCGAGUCGGAUCUCCGGGAGUUCUAGGACUUCGACGAGUUCGAGGAUUAGGCUAGCGACUCCCCCAAUCAGCUGACUGUGGUGGGUUUAUUUACAUGGGCUACGUUUCGAUUCUGUGUACUUUGAUUUAUGUUAUGUAAAUGACUCGUCUUUAAUAUUAUUACUUACUCUUUGUUAUUAUUCAAAGCAUUGUGCUAUCAUGAGUCAUUUAUGUAAUCGCUAUGUACGUGAGUUCUGAUCCUGGCACGUACAUGGUUCGCAUUCGGUUUACCUUCUAAAACCGGGUGUGACAGUAAUGACUUAGGGUUGUUGUCUAUCUAGUAGUAUUUACUUAUUGUUAGUAGUUUGGGUGAAAUUGGGUCAUGCUUAGGGUUUAACUUUUGUUGGAAUUUCAGAAAAGCCCAAUCCACCCCCUCUUGGGCAUCGUGAUCCUUUCAGCUCUGUGCACCCUUAAGCUGUCGAUUGUCGUGAUCAAAACCAUUGACCGCAUCAGAAGGGAUUGUCUUUGGAGAGGCAAUAAUGAAUCUGCUCAUUGGAACUCUCUUAUUGCAUGGGAUAAGGUAACUCAUUCGAAGAACUAAGGUGGUAUUGGUGUUCUCAACUUGAAGAUCUAGAACAUAACUCCGCUUCUUAAGUUUCUACAUAAAUUAUAUGGCAGGCAUGACAUCCCCUAGGUUGAUCUUGUUUGGAACUCAUAUUAUGCCUUAGGUCUGAUCCCACAUGAUUCUCAGGUGAAAGGCUCCUUCUAGUGGAAAGACGUUAUAAUACUUGUUGACUAUUACAGGGGCCAUUCUAUGCCUUGGGUUGGUGAUGGUAGGGCUAUCCUCCUAUGGCACGAUGUUUGGAACAACUUAUCCCUCAAGUCUUCAUUCCCUAGCCUCUUCUCUUUCGCCAGGAGAUACAAGAUUUUCUCGAGAAUAUGUCUUUAGAAGAUAACUUUCACUCACCCUCUCCCCUCAAGUUGUCCAGGACUACCAAUUGUUCUACAAGAUUAUUGAUCGGAUUCAAAUUUCCAGAGCUGACAAGGAUAUUUGGAUUUAUCCAUGGGGGAAUGAGUGUUUUAGCUCCUCUAAGUUUUACAAGCUUACCUUCAACUCCAUUCAACCUCCAAAUCCUUUCACCUGGAUAUAGCGAUCCAAGUUUUGUAAGAAAGCCAAAGUCUUUGUUUGUAGUUUUCUGGGAUAGAAUCAACUCGAAAUACAUCUUGAGAAGAAAAUGUUUUUUGAACGAAUGUAGUGAUCUCAACUAUGUUCUCUACGAUCAAGGCCAUGAAGAAACAACUUAUCAUCUUCUCUUUGAUUGUCCCUUCAGUAUGGGAUGCUGGAACUAUGUUGGGAUACAUUGGUGUCACGACCUGGAUUUUUUCCUAUGAUUGAGGCUGCAAGGUGUGCCUUUGGGCACAACUUCUUCAUAGAUAUUCUGGCAGUGGUAGUAUGGUGCAUUUGGAAGCAAACGAAUGACUCCAUCUUCAAGAACAUUGCCCCUUGUUUCCUCUCUUGGAAGGGUAGCUUCAAUGACAUGCUGAAGUUGCAAAUGAUUAGGUUUAAUAGUGUUAGGAUGCUUAGGGUGUCUUUGUGGCUAAAUUCUUGAUAGGUGGUUGUCUAAUUUCUCUUUUCUCUUGAACUUAUCUGUUCCAUUCCUUCCAAUAUUAAAUAAAAAUCGUGUUGUAGGGGUUUUCCCUACAGCCUUUCCCUUCAAAAAGACAAGGGUGACAAACAAGUUCCUUCUCAAAUUUCAACUUGUGCAGUCCUCGGAUCAGACCAAUUGAGCUCAGUCUAUGUAAAAGAUCAAAGCUCAAGUGUCCUAGUCUUCAAUGCCACUUCCAAAUCAAAGAAGAGGGUCCUAGCAAUAGACAUCGAGAAGGGCCAGAAGAACGUGAAAAAUCAGCACUGAAAACUCGACCAAAAGGGGAAAUUUGACAAAUAAGAUCCCUCUGGGCAUAAAAAACCUGAGAUAUGCCCUUUUAAAAUGCAUUUCAUAGUCAUCCUCAAGGAGUUGCAAAACAAAAAGCGGAUUGAAAUGCAAAUUUGAAACAAAAGCAACAUUCUUGAGAACAAAACUCUUGUUCACAUGAACGGAGCCACGAGAGAUUACCUUACCUCUCAACUUAUCACCGAAUGUGAUGUAUUCCUUACCAAUCAUUGGGUCAAGGCUACAGAACCAUUUUUUUGCGUCCGGUCAUGUGGCGCGACUAUGUGAACAGAUGGAAUCCAUGAGCCAUAUGUUCUCUAGGGCUCCGUCCUGCAUCAAUAGAAAGAAAUAGGGUGAGCAAACGACACAACAUUGGGGUUAGGAUACUGAGAAUGAUACUAGUGUUGCAGCAUUUGUCCAUAAAAAGUGUUAGGAAAAACACCGCUCAUCCUUGGUCUAGAAGAGAAGCAAUCAACAUAAGAAGGAAACUGUGGUCCGCUGGAGAAGUAAGAACAAAGCCACUAUCACGGUCCACGGGGUCCUUGAUCAUAUGGCACACGAUCAGCACCCCGCUGGGCACGGCCACCCUAUGGUCUCACUAUCUAAGGCUUAGCAGCAAGAGGCAAAGCAUCUCUAGGCCUCACAAGACAUCUCUGAACAGGCUAAGCAUGAACACCAUGAGGGGGGCAGUUCAUGUUGUUCCUGAUCGACUUAGAAACUCGCCGCUCAUCUCUCUUCUUCCUAAAGCAAAAAUCGGCCAGAUGCCCAUCCCUCUCACAAUACCUACAAUUGAACCUCACCUCUCUCUUAGGUGGAAUUUGUUUGUGGGAGGGGGCUUUCUUUUUGGAUGGUUGAGAGGCUCUAGGAAGGGGAUCACUAGAGAUGUUGGGAAGCGUAUCAAGUGUGUUCCUAAAAUGAUUUGGUUUUGGAACCCACACUUCUUCUGAGGAGGGGCUUUCACAGGCUCCACAAUCACUCCAUCUCUCACAAGAGUGAUAGGCUUAUGUGGUGGUGAUUUUGAUAAGAUUGGUAGUGGGUGAAGGUUUCUCUGAAUGUGGCAAACCAUUGCACUCACCAACCUUCCCAAAGCAAGCGACACUCUCAUCCUUGACACAAAGCCUUACCUCGGUCCACCAGUUUCCCUCUUGAACUAACUAAUCAUCAUGCCCAACUAGGGUUCAUUAUACGACACCCAGCUCAAGACCGAUCGAAGGUAUGUGUUUUCUUCCUUGAUCCAAGUCAUGUCGUGUCUACAUGACUCUCAGGCUACCAACCCUCACACAAUGCACACUGCGCAGGUGCAAUGGUACUCACUGAGCUAGUCUUCUCAAGCAAGGCUAUCGUAGCGACUCUCUGUACUAGCUUAGUCUGCAAGCCAGGACAAAUAGUACACGCACCUAACAAACUAGAUCUUGAUCUUAACUUGCCGUGCUCAUCUAGCAAGGUCGUGUACUUGGUCUGCCAAGUUGUGAUGUUCGACAUGUGUAGAGCGCACUCAUCACAUUCUGUCUUGUUUGCCACCACAACUGAAGCUCUAGCAAACUCAAACUCCCUAAGUGUGCUCUCAUAUUUGAAUUUAAAACCUUUCCUCUCACGAGGAGCAAGCCUAAGCAACUUAUCCUGAUUAGCCAAAGCAGUCGUUAGCUCCUCUACCUCAGCGGUGAGAUCAUCAGUGGAAUGUCAUACCUCAUACGUAGAGCCAUCGCCGAUGUCCUGGCUGUCACUGCCCACCGCAUCAUCACUAUAACACUUCAAAACCAUCAACUAAAAAUAAUACAUUUAAAUCAUUAGUAGUGAGUAUAGUAAAGAAUUUUUCUUUCAAGUAUAUUUGAUAUUACUUACCUUUAGAAUAAAUUUUGUUUGCUCAUGUUUGAUUGAUGUUUGUUUUUAUAAAGUUUCUUUUAUAUUGAAAACCCAAUUAAUUAAUAUGAGAACUUUGGUUAAAAAUCUUCAAUGAUAAAUAUUGUUGGUUUAAUUAUUUUAGAGAUAUUUAAAAAUAUACUUAUUUUUUUUGGGAAAUAAGGAUAAAAAGAGAAAAAUCGAAACCCUAACCUAUCUGCCCAAAGUCGGCCCAUUAGGCCCAACCGGCCGCCAUCGCCCUCUCCCUCCCUCUGUCUCUCCCCCGGCGCCCCUUCCUUUCCCCUCGGCCUCUAUAAAACCGGUCGAGCCAGACCUCUCUCCCCUCCCCUGACGAGCCCGCCUGGACCGUCCGCCGUGCCCCUGCUUCCCAGCCGCGCCCGUGCCUCGCCGGACUGGCCGCUCCCGUUCGCCGUACCGUCCGUUCGUCGCAAGGUUGAAGAUAACCAGAAAAUAAUUUUGUUAAUUUUUGAAAACUCGUUUUGAAUUAGUUUAUAAAUUUUGUAAAUUAUUAUUGUAAUAUUGGAAUGUUGUGAUUAAAAAUUCAUGUGUAUGUAAAUUAUUGGGUAUAUAUAUGUGGAUUGUUAUUAGUCAUGUUAUUUGUUUACAAUGACUUUAGAAUAUUAGAUUAGAAAGAAGUAUGAAAAGAUUUGGUAGACAUGUGUUAGUAGUAAAAAUACUAGAUAAGUGAUUUCGUAGUUAGUUUUGUUUACGAUGAAUUUUAGAGUUUAUCUAGAAGUUAUAAUCAAAGGUUCAUUUAGGCUUACUCAAUAAAUAAUGGAAACUUCUUAAACACGGAAUUAGUAAGUGGUGUAGAAUUCAUCAUAAUGCAAGAAUUAUAGGUUAAUCAGUGGUCUAAUGUAUUAUUAGAUGUUUUGACCUCUUAUUAUUAUAAUGAUAUUUUCUUUUAGAAAGAAAGGAUAAAACUAAAAGGAUAUCAUUUUUAAUAAUAGAAAUAAUUAAUUGGUAAUUUAUUUCUGUAGAAUUGGUGAAGUCGUUACAUCCAAGCUAUGUUAGGUAAAAUACUUUCGUAGUCGCAUGUCCAUAUGAGUUUCACCAGUAACAAUCCAAAGUAGAGAUUUUAGUGGAUUAAUAAAAUAAAUAUGAAUUAGUUUCUAUAGUUGGCACUAUUUAUAAGUAUAGAUUGUGUGGAAUAUGCUUGUUCAUGUAAUGGUGAAUGUUAUUCAUGUAAUAGUGCAUGUUUAUUUAUUUGGUGAAUGUUUUUUGUAUGUACGAUAUGCGAAUCUAUAUUAGAAGCUGAUUGUGUGGUGGAAGACCCAAAUACGUUUGAAGACG